rnacentral:rRNA from 1 species
CUAUCACUCUUGGAUGGACCUGCGGUGCAUUUAGCUAGUUGGUAGGGUAACGGCCUACCAAGGCGAUGAUGCAUAGCCGAGUUGAGAGACUGAUCGGCCACAUUGGGACUGAGACACGGCCCAAACUCCUACGGGAGGCAGCAGUAGGGAAUCUUCCACAAUGGACGCAAGUCUGAUGGAGCAACGCCGCGUGAGUGAAGAAGGGUUUCGGCUCGUAAAGCUCUGUUGUUGGUGAAGAAGGACAGGGGUAGUAACUGACCUUUGUUUGACGGUAAUCAAUUAGAAAGUCACGGGCUAACUACGUGCCAGUAGCCGCGGUAAA